AGCAGUGUAGCAUAGUGGUAAGGAGCUAGGCUUGUAACCUAAAGGUUGCUGGAUAGAUUCCCCGCUGGGG